UACGGGGGGGGCAAGCGUUGUCCGGAAUUACUGGGCGUAAAGAGCUCGUAGGUGGUUUGUCGCGUUGUUCGUGAAAACUCACAGCUCAACUGUGGGCGUGCGGGCGAUACGGGCAGACUAGAGUACUGCAGGGGAGACUGGAAUUCCUGGUGUAGCGGUGAAAUGCGCAGAUAUCAGGAGGAACACCGGUGGCGAAGGCGGGUCUCUGGGCAAUAACUGACGCUGAGGAGCGAAAGCGUGGGGAGCGAACAGG
rnacentral:rRNA from 1 species